rnacentral:rRNA from 1 species
UACGGGGGGGGUAAGCGUUGUUCGGAAUUACUGGGCGUAAAGGGCUCGUAGGCGGCCAACUAAGUCGGACGUGAAAUCCCUCAGCUUAACUGGGGAACUGCGUCCGAUACUGGAUGGCUUGGAUUUGGGAGAGGGAUGCGGAAUUCCAGGUGUAGCGGUGAAAUGCGUAGAUAUCGGAAGGAACACCAGUGGCGAAAGCGGCUUCCUGGUCCAGCAUCGACGUUCAGGCACGAAAGCGUGGGGAGCAAACAGG